AUGUCUUGCUUCAGAUUACCUCGAGGCCUUUGUGCAAGCAUUACGUCACUCAUUCGUCAAUUUUGGUGGGGGAGCAAGAGGGGCAAGAGGAAACCAUGUUGGGUAGCUUGGGAUUUGAUGACCCGACCGAAAAGUUUGGGAGGACUUGGCUUUCGGGAUAUAGAAAUCUUCAACUUGGCACUUUUGUCUCGGCAAAUUUGGAGAUUAUUGAAUGAUCCCUCCUCUCUUAGUGCACAAAUCCUUAAAGCAUCAUAUUUUCCACAAUGUACAGUCCUUGAAGCUCAACUAGGUCCACAUCCUAGUCAGGUGUGGCGAUCUAUACUUGAUGGGAGAGAUAUUAUCACCCAAGGAGCUAUCCGUCGUAUUGGUGAUGGAACCACGACGAACAUAUGGCAACAUAGUUGGAUCCCAAGGGACGGAAUGAUGAAGCCGGUGGCCUCUUUAGUUGCUGACCCACGACAACUGGUUUCUGAUCUGAUCGACCACACUAGAGCUGCUGGCGAGAGGACUUGCUUAGACAGGUGUUCAUACCUAUGGAUGUGGAGGCGAUCUUGCAAAUACCGCUCUGUACAUGGCUUGUGGACGAUUUCUGGGCGUGGAAUGAUGAUCCAAGGGGGCGUUUUUCUGUAG
rnacentral:rRNA from 1 species